rnacentral:misc_RNA from 1 species
GAUGAAGAACGCAGCGAAAUGCGAUACUUGGUGUGAAUUGCAGAAUCCCGUGAACCAUCGAGUCUUUGAACGCAAGUUGCGCCCGAAGCCAUUAGGCCGAGGGCACGCCUGCCUGGGCGUCACACGUCGUUGCCCCCCCAUCUACUCCUUCGGGAUUGCGGGGGGCGGAUGAUGGCCUCCCGUGCGCCUCGCCGCGCGGUUGACAUAAAUGCCAAGUCCUCGGCGACGCACGCCACGACAAUCGGUGGUUGCGAAACCUCGGUUGCCCGUCGUGUGCGGUCGUCGCGCAUCGAGGGCUCGAAAAAAUUGCCGGGUUCCGGCUCGGCUUUCAACGCGACCCCAGGUCAGGCGGGGUUACCCGCUGAAUUUAAGCAUAUCAAUAAGCGGAGGA